GAGCUGGGGCCCUGGCAGCCAUAGCGCUUUGCACAGCCGGCUCAGAGCGUGUAGGACGGGCACGGAGCAGGGUUGCGUUCUCUGGAGUCGCAGACCCUGUAAGAUCUGGAUAUGUCCUUCAUAUUUGACUGGAUUUACAGUGGUUUCAGCAGUGUGCUGCAGUUUCUAGGAUUGUAUAAAAAAACUGGUAAACUGGUAUUCCUUGGAUUGGAUAAUGCCGGGAAAACAACGUUGCUACACAUGCUGAAAGAUGACAGGCUUGGCCAGCACGUCCCAACACUACAUCCCACUUCAGAGGAGCUCACUAUUGCUGGCAUGACGUUUACAACUUUUGAUCUGGGUGGGCAUUUGCAAGGUGCAAAGAGCUCGGUGAACACCAAGCACAUAUGAUACAAACAGCACUAAAGCCCCACAGAUGAAAGUGCUUGGGCCACUAACUGAGAGGAGAACACCUAGAGGAGAAAAGCAGACAGACGUGGAGGCCGCACGCUGAGAAUGCAGAUAAGAGAGGAACAGCACACCAGGCCAGUGAGGGGGCUCAGCAGAUGUGGGUGCUGCCAAGUCCAUGA
rnacentral:lncRNA from 1 species